rnacentral:misc_RNA from 1 species
UCCGGUUUGUCACCGGCAGUCUGGCGCGAGUCCCCAACUUAAUGCUGGCAACACGCCACGGGGGUUGCGCUCGUUGCGGGACUUAACCCAACAUCUCACGACACGAGCUGACGACAGCCAUGCACCACCUGUGAUCCUGCCCGUGAGGGAAGCCGUGUUUCCACGGCGGUCAGGAACAUGUCAAGCCCAGGUAAGGUUCUUCGCGUUGCCUCGAAUUAAGCCACAUGCUCCGCCGCUUGUGCGGGUCCCCGUCAAUUCCUUUGAGUUUUAGCCUUGCGGCCGUACUCCCCAGGCGGGGUGCUUAAUGCGUUAGCUGCGGCACGGAUCCCGUCGAUAGCCCCCCACACCUAGCACCCAUCGUUUACGGCUGGGACUAC